rnacentral:lncRNA from 1 species
UUAGCACAAGGAGAAAGAAAAGAGUCUUCCAUUACUACAUUUCAAGCAAAAUAUUCACAUGAAAUGAAAUUGAAUCAUGUAGAUUAGCCACUUGGUCCAGGUCUGAAUCAGAGUCCAUUAGCAGUUGCAACAUGCAAACAUAAUAGGAAAUUUAUAUUACUAAUGUAGAUUCAGCUAGUUGAUCCCAGCAUGCCCAACUCUAGCAAUUUUUAUCAUAUAUGCAAGAUUUGCUAACAAGGAGGCACCAUGUACCAAAGUCCAUUAGCAGUUGCAACAUGCAAACGAAACUGAGAUGAUUAUAGGACAAAUACUGAUUCAAGUAAUGAAUCACAGCAUGCCCAACUGUAGCAAUUCUUAAUCAUAUAUGCAAGAUUUGCAAAGAAAACUGCACUAUAUGUCAUUCUGUCUCAUUAUCUGCCAUUUUAAGACAUCCAAAUUGGGAAACACCUUUAUAUAAUGGAGCAAAUGGUAAGCUAGAUAGGAUUUUACAUGCAACCUAAAACAUCUGUUAUGAGGGCAAACACUAGGAGUAUAAGCAAGAUAUACAAAGCCUUACAAUUAAUCAUGUCACUAGUGAAUUCUUCUAAUUCAUAUCUUCAUUUGUGAAAUUGCACCAUGAAAGAACUCCUAAAUAUACAUUUAUCAUCAAGAAAAUUAGAAAUAAACCUCAAAAGAAAGUUAGUUACAAGAUAUAACUAUUAAUAUUUCUAUUCAUCCCAGUUGCAUCACUUUUCAACUCUGUGCUCUAAAAGAUAUUGUAUAUUGCAUUUAGAAGUCUCUAGGACAAACCUAUUUAUUAAAUGAAUAUGUGAGCACAGAUUUCAAGUAGACAUUUUAAUCAUUUUACUUCACUUUACCUGUAGUAAAGUUUGAAGAGCCUUAUGCCGAAAGAUUUUGGUUGCUGGUGGAUGUGGGGUAGAUGGGAUUACCCAUUUUCUCCCAUCGUCCUUACAGACACCCCAAUGAAUUACGACAUCACCAGGCAGAUCUGUGUCAAAUUGCACAAUGUUCUUAUCUGUCUUAUCACUACUCCUCACAGAGACUGUCAUAUGGUUGGGAACAAACUCUUCUUUUAAGAUAGGAAAUUCUUUGUAAAUUGGAGCAAU